rnacentral:sRNA from 1 species
GCCAGGUGUGGUGGUGCAUGCUUGUAAUUCCAGCAACUUGGGAGGCUGAGGCAGGAGGAACACAAGUUCAAAGCCAGCCUCAGCAAUUUAAUAUGACACUAAGCAACUUAGUGAGACCCUGUUUCAA